rnacentral:lncRNA from 1 species
GCGAAUUCCAUUCGAGCCUCUACUGUAAAUAAAUUUUUUUCGAACUUUCAUUACAGGCAGACUUCAGCCGAGCUCCUACAGUGGACGGAUCCCAGACGAGCUUUUACAACGGGAUAGGAUCCACUGGCCAGGUCGCUACUCCGAGCUCCCACGACAACCGAUCUUCGAUCGAGCUUCUACAAUAAGCGAUCUCCUUUCAGCCUUCUACAAGAAUCAGACUCCGUCCGAACUUCCAUAGUGGAUGGAUAUCGG